GUGGGUAUAGCUCAGUGACAGAGCACAUGCUUAGCAUACAUGAGAUCCUGGAUUCAAUUCCCAGUACCUCCA
rnacentral:tRNA from 1 species